CGGAUGGAAGUCAAGAUGAUCUUGUCCUGAAGUCAAACGCUAUUAGUGACAUAAAAUGUUGACAGUGUGAUGAAGACCUUGAAGCCAAAGAAUGGAAUGGGACUGUUUGUUUAUUUGUUUGGGAUGGGACUGUUUGUUCGGCUUGAAAAUAAUUGCUUGAGGAUUCUGUAGAUUCAUGGAUUUCUGCACGAAGAGACCCGUAAGGUCUUUUCCAAGUCAUUCCUGUUGUGAUCCAAGAAGUCAGUGCAUCCUGGCACACACGAGCCAGGUCCAUGAACUCUACACAGGCAAGCCAAAUGACAACAUGAAAAGGUAUGUUCUCCUGUUCUUCCUACUGCACUCCUGUAAGAUCUUAAUAAGAUAAAUGUUUUGCUUUAUUUGGCAGGGAAGACCGGUGAAAUCGUGAACAGACCUGGCAGGAAGAGAGUCAAGCACGUAAUGGCUUUAAUUUCACAUUGGAUAAUUUCCACAAGCUGUAUAAAUACUGUUUUUUAACGGAGAAAAUAUUUUGGUCUUAGCAGGUUUGGAAACUAACAUGCUCAAGGCACAAAGAAGGGAGUACUUUUAAGUCCUGGUGGUUUCAGUAAGGUUAAAGAUUAAUUUUUCCCACUGAAAUAAGUGGGAUUUUAAAAUGCUUCAUUUGGAUCGGUUUAAUUUGGACAUUGCAAUCCUAUUGAGGACCUCUUCGGUGCAUCCCAUAAAUAUGAGAAGGGGGUCUGUCUCAGUGCUAAAACCAAUUGUGCAAUCUUAAUGGAGAAAUGGGCCACUGGAAGUGCCAUCAGGCCAGCCUAAGGGAGGCAUGAAAAUAAAGAAAAUGAAACCCAGUUUUAAUCCAUGGAGAUUGAAGUCCCAUAUUUUUGCCUGGAAUGAGCGCUACAAUCCAGCAUAUUAACUUUCCUUGAUAGUGGCAGAGUUCCUCCACUGCUCCGAGUUUAUUGUGGAUUGUUGCAUGAACCUGUACAAUUGAUAAUCGAAAGAAAGCAUGGCUGAGGAACUCAACUAAUGUUAUUCAGAGAAGAGAUGGGAGUCACCGUUUAUGUCAACAGUGCAAUCCCAUCAACAUCAUCAUUUGCGGUGGUGCUUUGGUUAGAAUGUGGUAUUGCAUGCUAACUCUGCCCACAAGCAGGAGUUCGAUCCUAACCAGCUCAAGGUUGACUCAGCCUUCCAUCUUUCCAAGCUUAGUAAAAUGAGGACUCAGAUUGUUGGGGGCAAUAUGUUGGCAUUGUAAACUACUCAGAGAGGGUUAUAAACCACUAUGGAGCAGUAUAUAAAUCUAAGUCCUAUUCUAUUGCUAUCCAGCUCAAACUGUGGUGGAAAACAUUUUCAGUUAUUUGAAUGCCUCUCCUGAGUAAUAUUUUGUUCCUUGUAAAUGCAUAUGAAUUGCUAUUAUAUAAAUAGUCCUUUAGCUACAUCUAAUUGUACACAGCUGCACAAACCUGUUUGCUCAAUAUUUAGGAAGCCAACGAGCCAUGCUUUUACAGACAUUCCUGGAUUUUAAAAAAUUCUUGUUUAUUCUAAAGGGUUGACUGUUCCCAAAUUUGGUCAAUUUAUUUAUUUCUUUUCCCUGGCCAUCACUGGAAAUGAAUCUAUUUAACUUAAUGCACUACUUUGCUAAACCUGGAUCUUGUAAUUUGCUCUUCACUUACAGAGUUCCGCAGUGGUUAAGACAGAGAAAUUAAUUGAGGAAGAGAAAAAUUAACUAAGGAUUAUUUUAUAAAGAUAUUAUAUUAUGAGCAUGUAUCAUAUGAAAUUUUAUCUGUAUGCUUUACAUAUUUACUAGGAAGCAAUGUUUACUGAACUUACUAUGACCUGCUUCUAAGUAGACAUCCAUAAGAUUGCAUUUCGCAAUAAAGACAUUUCUAAUGGUGAAUGAUAAUCACAUAGUACUUUUCCCUGUCAUUUU